UUCCCCGAACUGAAAAUCUCCACAUCGAUUUUUUAAAAAAUGUGCCCUAAGCUGAACGUUUCGCAGUCACUCGAAACUUCAACCCUAUUUAGAAACUUUUAUCUGUUUUGCCAUGGGAACUUUAAAUACACGCGAGCAUCGUGUUCUUUCGUCUGCUAAAAAUUGACCCUGGACCCAUGCAGACUAUUAGCUCCCAGUGUCUGAUUUGUAACCUUCAAUUAUGCCCACCUUUAUGGAUCUGGCCUUAAACAUCAAAACUGUAAUGAUUAUUUAAACCACUGUUCUAACCUCUAACCUCAAGUAACUGAUCUAAAAAUAAGGAGGGGGGCAAUUGGACGGUGUGAAACGCACUGGCGGCUAAAGGGUUAAAGCAUUAUAUGUUGACGAAGUUCCCAUGGAAAAAAAAAUUACCUGGUUUUAACUUAACGACCACAAAGUUGGGAUUCGUGAGGCAGUUAGGAUAUAGGAGCGAAUAGAUUUGGGUUUGUGGGGUGUGGUUCUAAAAUGCCUUCAGUUUGUAAGUGCUUAUAUCCGCGCCACUCUGUCUAUGUGUUUUAUUCCCCCCUUUCUCUUACUAGUUGUACUUGUUCGAAUAUCUGCUUCUCACUCAUUUCACAUUGAUACAAAAAGCUCAGCCUCCGCAAUGCAACCAUUGGCUCCGUGACAGCCCCAAGCUGCCCUGCCCUGACAUGUCGCUAACUCCUGUUUGGUUAAUUAAGUUUUCAAUCACUAGACAGUGGGUAAUAAUAAAUCAGAUUGAUAAUUGAUCGGAGCCCGUCAUUUAUUGUUGCAGGAAUAGGCGGGGCCCUGAGAUCUUUUUUUAAGGAUGUACAACUUAUGAGAUGUUGUGGUUUCUGUAACGAAAUUUAAGUGGGCUCCCCGGAGAUCUGGAAAAGUCCUGAUUCUUGAGAUGUCUCUUUUUAAUUCCUGUAAUUAUUCCAACAUUAAUGGUGAAAGGGAGCAGUAUCAGAUGGCCAAUCUUAUGGAGUGUGACGACAUCAGACAAACUCUCAGCUCCAGUCCCUGUGGUGAGAGACUGGAGCAUCUACAGGAGAAACACUUUGGUGUCACAAGGAAACAGAAAUGGCUCCAAAAUGGCUGCAGUUCUCUUUGAAGCCAAAGGUGGUCCUCGCCUGGCACUCGUAAGAUUACUCUUCGCCCCCUACAGUUCCUAUGAUGUUAUCUUACAUGUCCUACUGUGUGCUACAUUAUCAUUUUAUAACAGUUGUUGAGAAAGCCUUCUGCUACUUGGAACUGUAGUCCUGAGAUUCUGUCAAACAUUUUAAAAGCACACUGUAUUAAUCAGAUCAUUAGCAUGUGAGGAGCUGAGAAACUAUACUUUGAAACUUCAUUAGAUGCUAUGACAUGUUUAUAAAUGGUCUUUUUUUAAAAGUGAA